rnacentral:rRNA from 1 species
UACGAAGGGGGCUAGCGUUGCUCGGAAUCACUGGGCGUAAAGGGUGCGUAGGCGGGUCUUUAAGUCAGGGGUGAAAUCCUGGAGCUCAACUCCAGAAUUGCCUUCGAUACUGGAAAGCUCGAGUCCGGGAGAGGUGAGUGGAACUGCGAGUGUAGAGGUGAAAUUCGUAGAUAUUCGCAAGAACACCAGUGGCGAAGGCGGCUCACUGGCCCGGUACUGACGCUGAGGUGCGAAAGCGUGGGGAGCAAACAGG